GUGCAGGUAAGUUAAUUAAAACUAGCAGAUUCAUGUUCUGUCUAUGAGUCCUUUCUCUGUAUA
rnacentral:tRNA from 1 species